AUCUGGGGGACAGGUGUGUGACAGAAAGAGAGACAGUCAUCUGGAGGGGACAGGUGUGUGACAGAAAGAGAGACAGUCAUCUGGAGGGGACAGGUGUGUGACAGAAAGAGAGACAGUCAUCUGGAGGGGACAGGUGUGUGACAGAAAGAGAGACAGUCAUCUGGAGGGGACAGGUGUGUGACAGAAAGAGAGACAGUCAUCUGGAGGGGACAGGUGUGUGACAGAAAGAGAGACAGUCAUCUGGAGGGGACAGGUGUGUGACAGAAAGAGAGACAGUCAUCUGGAGGGGACAGGUGUGUGACAGAAAGAGAGACAGUCAUCUGGAGGGGACAGGUGUGUGACAGAAAGAGAGACAGUCAUCUGGAGGGGACAGGUGUGUAACAUGGUUUAUUCAACAUUACAACACAAUAAUAUUCAUGAUACUGAAACUAUAUACUGCAGUGCUGAGUACAUUUGAACUGUUUACGGUUGUAGCUGUCUGUCUGUCUGUCUGUCUGUCUGUCUGUC